rnacentral:tRNA from 1 species
UGCCGACUUAGCUCAGUUGGUAGAGCAUCGCUCUUGUAAAGCGGGGUCGAAGGUUCGAGUCCUUUAGUCGGCAU